ensembl:lncRNA novel transcript
GUGAAAGGCAGUGGGCUAAGUGGUAGGGGGAGAAGGAAGAUACAGAGUGCUUUCAAAAGUGCCUAAAUGUAAGUCAACAGGGCAGUGUGCCAAUUACAGUGUUAUAAUGUUCUACAGAAGAGGGAUGUACACCAAGAAUGCCAGCCUGGACCUCUGGUGUGUCUUGGAAGACUUAACCAGGAAGGGGACGAUUCGUUUCUAUUUGACCCAAGACUGAUGCUGCGUGGUGAAGGAGAGGAACUGCGUUCCAGGCAGAGGAAGUCCAGAUGCGCAAGAGCAGAGAUGGGAGGGACAGCACAGUGGCUUCUCAGAAUUGAAUAUGGUGUUAGACUUCUAAAAGAGCUGUGGUAGAGGGAGAAAACUGUCAAAGGAAAUCAGUAACUGUUAAAGGAAAAUACCUUAAACGUCCUGUUUUCAGGCUGACUAAUGCCUUAGGGGAGCAAAUGAGCAACAGAAACGAUAUGAGCAACUGCUGUUCUUUCAAAAUACCCAGGCAGAGGAACCGGCAGACGAUGGGCAGCAUCGAACAAACAACUGAGAUCCUGUUGUGCCUAUCACCUGUUGAAGUUGCCAGUCUUAAGGAAGGAAUCAAUUUCUUUCGCAAUAAGAGCACUGGCAAAGACUACGUCUUGUACAAGAAUAAGAGCCGACUGAGGGCAUGCAAGAAUAUGUGCAAGCACCAAGGAGGCCUGUUCAUAAAAGAUAUCGAGGAUUUAGCCGGAAGUUGUUGAAAUGGAUGAAAACAACGGACUUUUGCUUUUAGAACUGAAUCCUCCUAACCCUUGGGACUUACAGCCCAGAUCUCCUGAAGAGUUGGCUUUUGGAGAAGUACAGAUAACAUAUCUCACUCAUGCCUGCAUGGACCUCAAGUUAGGAGACAAGAGAAUGGUGUUUGACCCUUGGUUAAUCGGUCCUGCUUUUGCCCGUGGAUGGUGGUUGCUCCAUGAGCCUCCAUCUGAUUGGCUGGAGAGGCUGUGCCAGGCAGACCUCAUUUACAUCAGUCAUCUGCACUCAGACCACCUGAGUUACCCCACACUGAAAAAGCUUGCUGGGAGAAGACCAGAUAUUCCCAUUUAUGUUGGAAACACAGAAAGGCCUGUAUUUUGGAAUCUGAAUCAGAGCGGUGUCCAGUUGACUAAUAUCAAUGUCGUGCCAUUUGGAAUAUGGCAGCAGGUGGACAAAAAUCUUCGAUUCAUGAUCUUGAUGGACGGUGUUCAUCCUGAGAUGGACACUUGCAUUAUUGUGGAGUACAAAGGUCAUAAAAUACUCAAUAUAGUAGACUGCACCAGACCCAAUGGGGGAAGGCUGCCUAUGAAGGUUGCUCUAAUGAUGAGUGAUUUUGCUGGAGGAGCAUCAGGCUUUCCAAUGACUUUCAGUGGUGGAAAAUUUACGGAGGAAUGGAAAGCCCAAUUCAUUAAAACAGAAAGGAAGAAGCUCCUGAACUACAAGGCUCGGCUGGUGAAGAACCUGCAACCCCGAAUUUAUUGUCCCUUUGCUGGGUAUUUUGUGGAAUCUCACCCAUCAGACAAGUACAUCAAGGAAACAAACACCAAAAAUGACCCAAAUGAACUCAACAAUCUUAUCAAGAAAAACUCUGAUGUGAUAACAUGGACCCCUCGACCGGGAGCCACCCUUGAUCUGGGAAGAAUGCUGAAGGAUCGAACAGACAGCAAGGGCAUCAUAGAGCCUCCAGAGGGGACAAAAAUUUACAAGGAUUCCUGGGAUUUUGAACCUUAUUUGGAAAUCUUGAAUGCUGCUCUAGGAGAUGAAAUAUUUCUUCACUCAUCCUGGAUAAAAGAAUACUUCACUUGGGCUGGAUUUAAAGAUUACAACCUUGUGGUCAGGAUGAUUGAGACAGAUGAGGACUUCAAUCCUUUUCCUGGAGGAUAUGACUAUUUGGUUGACUUUUUAGAUUUAUCCUUCCCAAAAGAAAGACCACAACGAGAACAUCCCUAUGAGGAAAUCCAUAGCCGGGUGGAUGUCAUCAGACACGUGGUGAAGAAUGGUCUACUCUGGGAUGAGUUGUAUAUAGGAUUCCAAACACGGCUCCAGCGGGAUCCUGACAUAUACCAUCACCUGUUUUGGAAUCAUUUUCAAAUAAAACUCCCCCUCACACCACCCAACUGGAAGUCAUUCCUGAUGUGCUGUGAGCAGAAUGGGCCUGUGAUUUUGCAAUUCUCUACAGAAAGAACCAAUGAACCCAAUAGGAACAAAUUCUCUGUGGAAAACAAAGCAUAGCUGUAGUAGAUACGAAUCCAAUCACA